CGCACAUUGCGCCCUGUGGUAUUCCGCAGGGCAUGCCUGUUCGAGCGUCAUUACACCCCUCCAGCCUCGCUGGGUUUUGGGCGCCGCGGUCCUCGGGCCGCGCGCCUCAAUGUCUCUCGGCCGCGCCGACCGUCUCCCAGCGUUGUGAUCUCGCAGUUCGCUCCGGAGGCCGGCCGUCGCGUUGCCGUCGACCCCCCUUUUUAUUCAGGUUGACCUCGGAUCAGGUAGGGAUACCCGCUGAACUUAA
rnacentral:misc_RNA from 1 species